ACGGGAGGCAGCAGUGGGGAAUCUUCCGCAAUGGGCGAAAGCCUGACGGAGCAACGCCGCGUGAGUGAAGAAGGUUUUCGGAUCGUAAAGCUCUGUUGUCAGGGACGAGAGACGAGGUUAGGAAAUGAGCUUCGUAGGACGGUACCUGGCGAGAAAGCCACGGCUAACUACGUGCCAGCAGCCGCGGUAAUACGUAGGUGGCGAGCGUUGUCCGGAAUUAUUGGGCGUAAAGGGAGCGCAGGUGGGAAGGUAAGUCAGUCUUAAAAGUGCGGGGCUCAACCCCGUGAUGGGAUUGAAACUACUUUUCUUGAGUGCAGGAGAGGAAAGCGGAAUUCCUAGUGUAGCGGUGAAAUGCGUAGAUAUUAGGAGGAACACCAGUGGCGAAGGCGGCUUUCUGGACUGUAACUGACACUGAGGCUCGAAAGCGUGGGGAGCGAACAGGAUUAGAUACCCUGGUA
rnacentral:rRNA from 1 species